GCAGGCGUGGCGGAAUUGGCAGACGCGCUAGACUUAGGAUCUAGUGGGUGUUCCCCGUGAGAGUUCGACUCUCUCCGCCUGCACCA
rnacentral:tRNA from 1 species